GACGAACCGUGCGAACGUUGUUCGGAUUCACUGGGCUUAAAGGGCGCGUAGGCGGGUUGUCAAGUCAGGGGUGAAAGCCUCCAGCUCAACUGGAGAAGUGCCUUUGAUACUGAUGAUCUUGAGGGAGGUAGGGGCAUGUGGAACUUCCGGUGGAGCGGUGAAAUGCGUAGAGAUCGGAAAGAACACCAACGGCGAAAGCACUCUGCUGGGCCGACACUGACACUGAGAGACGAAAGCUAGGGGAGCGAAUGGG
rnacentral:rRNA from 1 species